rnacentral:misc_RNA from 1 species
UCAUACUGUGAGAACGCUCUUCGGAUCUAUGAAAAACCCAUGCCUGGGAUCCCUCCAGAGGAGAUAGCUAGUGGUCUCACUGAUGUUUCUGCUAUCUAUGAGUCGAUGAAUGAGCUUGAGCCGGCAAUCAAGUUGCUACAGAAGGCAUUAAAAAUAUAUAACGAUGCCCCUGGUCAGCAGAGCACAAUUGCCGGAAUUGAAGCCCAACUGGGGGUCAUGUACUACAUGCUGGGGAAUUAUUCUGAAUCUUACAGCUACUUCAAGGAUGCA